rnacentral:rRNA from 1 species
GAUGAACGCUAGCGGCGGGCCUAAUACAUGCAAGUUGAACGAGAUUGUUGGUAGCAAUACUGACAUGAAAGUGGCGCACGGGUGCGUAACACGUAUGUAACCUACCUUUAACUGGGGCAUAGCUUCGAGAAAUCGAAAUUAAUACCCCAUAACAUUUAGAAAAGGCAUCUUUUCUUUAUCAAAGUUCCGGCGGUUAAAGAUGGACAUGCGGUGCAUUAGCUUGUUGGUGAGGUAACGGCUCACCAAGCUACGAUGCAUAGGGGGUCUGAGAGGAUGAUCCCCCACACUGGUACUGAGACACGGACCAGACUCCUACGGGAGGCAGCAGUAGGGAAUAUUGGGCAAUGGACGAAAGUCUGACCCAGCCACGCCGCGUGAAGGAUGACUGCCCUAUGGGUUGUAAACUUCUUUUGUAUGGGAAGAAAAUUCCAAACGUGUUCGGAGCUGACGGUACCAUAAGAAUAAGCAUCGGCUAACUCCGUGCCAGCAGCCGCGGUAAAAC